rnacentral:misc_RNA from 1 species
GGGUUGGCUUCAUCACCCAUAAGAAAGAUAUCCCCGAAUUUAAUAGUCCAAACGCGAUCUCAUCUGUUUGUUCUUGAUCAGGAACUGCAACACUACCAAAUGAAAUGUAAACAACUGAAGAUGUUGGCCUCGAGUCAAGCCACUCGAUGCAAUCCUCCUCGAUAUUUGUGCAAUCACCGCGAAUGUGGCUAACGAUUUCAGGGUCAUUAAAUAACAAGGGACCAAUAGUCCUAAUGGGGCAAAUUUUC